rnacentral:rRNA from 1 species
GGUAUGAGUGCCGCUUUGUGUUUGUCAUCCUUCCAGAAAGCUGCGUCUACCGUUCAUUCGGCCGGAUGUAUGCGAUCUGGAUCUAUUACUUUGAAAAAAUUAGAGUGUUUAAAGCAGGCUUAUGCUGUGAAUACAUUGGCAUGGAAUAAUAAUUUAGGACUUUGGUUCUAUUUUGUUGGUUUCUAGGACUGAAGUAAUGAUUGAUAGGGAUAGUUGGGGGUGCUAGUAUUCCGCGGCCAGAGGUGAAAUUCUUGGAUUCGUGGAAGACUAACUACUGCGAAAGCAUUCACCAAGGAUGUCUUUCUUUUAAUCAAGAACGAAAGUUAGGGGAUCGAAGACGAUUAGAUACCGUCGUAGUCCUAACCGUAAACGAUGCCGACUAGAGGUUGGGAGGUUGUAAAUCGACUCCUUCAGUACCUUACGAGAAAUCAAAGUCUUUGGGUUCUGGGGGGGAGUAUGGUCGCAAGGCUGAAACUUAAAGGAAUUGACGGAAGGGCACCACCAGGAGUGGAGCCUGCGGCUUAAUUUGACUCAACACGGGGAAACUCACCAGGUCCAGACAUAGGAAUGAUUGACAGAUUGAUAGCUCUUUCUUGAUUCUAUGGGUGGUGGUGCAUGGCCGUUCUUGGUUGGUGGAGUGAUCUGUCUGGUUAAUUCCGAUAACGAACGAGACCCUGCCCUGCUAAUUAGGUAUCAGUUACUCCGGUUUCUGAUACCUGCUUAGAGGGACUGCGUA